rnacentral:rRNA from 1 species
UAUUUUAAAGAGAGUUUGAUCCUGGCUCAGGACGAACGCUGGCGGCGUGCCUAAUACAUGCAAGUCGAACGAACGGAGGAAGAGCUUGCUCUUCCAAAGUUAGUGGCGGACGGGUGAGUAACACGUGGGCAACCUGCCUGUAAGUUGGGGAUAACUCCGGGAAACCGGGGCUAAUACCGAAUGAUAAAGUGUGGCGCAUGCCACGCUUUUGAAAGAUGG